ensembl:lncRNA
CGUGAACAUGCCAGUUAUAGCUAGCUAAUAAAGAGCUACGUUAAGAAAUAUCCUGUAGUACUGCAUUAUAUUAUUUUGUACAAAAUGUACAAAACAUGGUGUCAGAGUAAAAGGUCUUAAAAUAUGAAUUUUUCUGGAGUUCCUUUACCUCGAAUGGACUGGGACUCUACAAAUUUACCCAAUGCAUGGCGUCCAGCCACAAGACGACGCCGACGAGAGGGACGACCCCGAGGACGAGGAGCAGGUGGCGAAGGUGGAAAUCACGGAUGAUGUUGGGAUCCAGAAUGUCCUACACCGGAACCCAACAUCGACAACCCGGAACCCAACAUCACGUGAGCUUCGCUCCACACUUAUGCGCACCUGAAGCACUCGUCAACCGCAGGAGCUUCGGUCUGGCCCAGGGUCCACGGAGCCGAGGACGAGCAUACCAACCCUACCAUGUCACAACACAUUGGUUGGCUGAAACACAUUAUGAAGCAAAUUAACUUUCAACAAGGCACACCUGUUAAUUCAAAUGCAUUCCAGGUGACUACCUCAUGAAGCAGGUUGAGAGAAUGCCAAGAGUGUGCAACGCUGUCAUCAAGGCAAAGGGUGGCUACUUUGAGGAAUCUGAAAUUGAUUUUGAUUUGUUUAAUUAACACUCUUUUGCUUACUACAUGA